rnacentral:rRNA from 1 species
GAUGAACGCUAGCGGGAGGCCUAAUACAUGCAAGUCGAGCGGUAGAGUGACUUCGGUUGCUUGAGAGCGGCGCACGGGUGAGUAACGCGUACAUGACCUACCUUUAAGACUGGGAUAGCCCUGGGAAACUGGGAUUAAUACCGGAUGUGAUAAAUACGUAUAGAGAUGUAUUAUUAAAGUUGAGGCGCUUAGAGAUGGAUGUGCGUCUGAUUAGCUAGUUGGUAGGUAACGGCCUACCAAGGCGACGAUCAGUAGGGGCGUGAGAGCGUGGCCCCCCACACGGGUACUGAGACACGGACCCGACUCCUACGGGAGGCAGCAGUAAGGAAUAUUGGACAAUGGGCGGAAGCCUGAUCCAGCCAUGCCGCGUGAAGG